AUUGAACGCUGGCGGCAGGCCUAACACAUGCAAGUCGAACGAGUGGCGGAGGGGUGAGUAAUGGCUGGGAAACUGCCUGAUGGAGGGGGAUAACUACUGGAAACGGUAGCUAAUACCGCAUACCAUCAGAUGUGCCCAGAUGGGAUUAGCGUGUUGGUGGGGUAACGGCGUACCAAGGCGACGAUCCCUAGCUGGUCUGAGAGGAUGACCAGCAACACUGGAUCGGAGACACGGCCCCGACACCUACGGGAGGCAGCAGUGGGGAAUAUUGCACAAUGGGCGCAAGCCUGAUGCAGCCAUGCCGCGUGAAUGAAGAAGGCCUUCGGGUUGUAAAGUACUUACAGCAUGGAUGCGUUACCCGCAGAAAAAGCACCGGCUAACUCCGUGCCAGCAGCCGCGGUAAUUC
rnacentral:rRNA from 1 species